rnacentral:tmRNA from 1 species
GGGGAUGCAAUGGUUUCGACGGUAUUAUUAUCGCAUAGAUGGCAAGUCGAGUGCUUACGUAAAAAGCAAAAAGCAAUAAAUGCAAACAAAGUAAAAAAUGCUUUAGCUAAUUUAUUUGGUUCUAAGAACCAAGAAUUAGCUUUCGCCUAAUUAAUUAAAAGGCAAGCGUCUCUACUAUUUUUACCUAGCAAAUAGAUAGGGAUUCAUUUUAUAGGUUAUAGCUAUCUUUUGCCUAGAAGAUAGAAAGAAUAAUCAGGCUGGUACAUUUAUUUUGUCGUUAACUACUUGAUAAGUGUAUAAGAUUAUUUAGUUAACUAAACUUGUAGAGGUUUAUGUAGAGGUAAUAUCGGACAGGAGUUCAAUUCUCCUCAUCUCCACCA